GAUGAACGCUAGCUACAGGCUUAACACAUGCAAGUCGAGGGGAAACGAUAGAGAAAGCUUGCUUUUUCUAGGCGUCGACCGGCGCACGGGUGAGUAACGCGUAUCCAACCUGCCCACCACUUGGGAAUAACCUUGCGAAAGUAAGACUAAUACCCAAUGAUAUCUCUAGAAGACAUCAGAAGGAGAUUAAAGAUUUAUCGGUGAUGGAUGGGGAUGCGUCUGAUUAGCUUGUUGGCGGGGUAACGGCCCACCAAGGCGACGAUCAGUAGGGGUUCUGAGAGGAAGGUCCCCCACAUUGGAACUGAGACACGGUCCAAACUCCUACGGGAGGCAGCAGUGAGGAAUAUUGGUCAAUGGGCGAGAGCCUGAACCAGCCAAGUAGCGUGCAGGAUGACGGCCCUAUGGGAUGUAAACUGCUUUUAUAAGGGAAUAAAGUGAGCCUCGUGAGGCUUUUUGCAUGUACCUUAUGAAUAAGGACCGGCUAAUUCCGUGCCAGCAGCCGCAGUAA
rnacentral:rRNA from 1 species